rnacentral:lncRNA from 1 species
AGGAUACACCACUGCCGGUAUGGAGUUCCAGAAGUGAUUGAGAGUGACCAAGGAACCUCCUUUACUGCCUCAUUCGCACGAGAAGUCUGGGCAGCACUGGGGGUGACCCUUGCCUUCCACACACCCUAUCACCCACAGAGUAGUGGUAAGGUAGAACGCAUGAAUGGCACACUGAAAGCCAGAUUGCUCAAAAUGUCCCAGGAAACUAGUAUGCCCGGGCCAGAGAGCCUUCCAGUAGCACUAUUUAGCGUGAGAUACACUCCUAGGGGCAAACACAGCUUAUCACCUUAUGAGAUUCUGUUCGGCACAGCACCAAGGUUAGGUUAUUACUUUCCCCAACAACUUCAAAUACAGUCAGAUGCAAUGGUAGACUAUGUGACUGCUCUCUCUCAUGCCUUAACCAAAAUCCAUGCCCAAGUGUUUUCUUCUAUUCCAGAUCCUGAGUAGAACACAGGUACACACAAGUUGCUCCCAGGUGAUUGGGUUAUGGUCAAGAAAUUUCUCAGGAAGCACACCCUUGAGCCAAGAUUUGAUGGUCCCUACCACGUGCUCUUAAUUACAGCUACUUCAGUAAAAUUGGCUGGGUAAAGUUCCUGGAUCCACGCCUCCCACUGCAAGAAAGUGCCUGCUCCAGCAGAAGCUGACCCUGCUGCAUAAUAAUGUUGUUGCAUGUUUUAUAUUUUCCUAUGCUGCUAGACUUUGCAUGGGCCCAACAGGUGGCCAUAACCAAAGAUAACUAGGUUUACACAUUUUGGUACAAUUCUUCAAACACAGAUGUAGCUACUUAUACCUUUGAUUACUGUGAUAUUGUUGCUUGCACCUUUCCACAGACACAGUAUGCUGCUAUAUACAAAGACAUAUCCAGUAAGAAAGACCCAUACAUCUGUGUGAAAGGGGGUGCAUGGGGACAAGAUUGUAGUUCUUGGAAGGCAGCUGGGUGGAACACAGGUAGAUCAUGGGGAUACAGCCCUCAGAACGCCUUUGACAGAAUUGAUAAAGAUGGAAAAUCAUUACUCUCUAGAAUGACUCUAAAUAAACCCAUUGGGUCGACACCUAUUAAACUUACCCUAAACAUAGAACUCCCCAGUCCGGGAGAUGCAGGAGAGUAUGUACUGGAGAGGCGGUGGUUCAUACAAUAAGCUAGGGACAUUCUACUUGCAAGACAUGCUCAACUCAUCUGACUGGGUAGGAACUUCACAUAUGACUAUUAACCCAUUUAAGCCUCACAUCAGGACUCUACGUGACAUGGUCGCUAUUGCUAACCCUACCUUUGAAGACACCAUGGCUGUGGAAACUGGGUUCUCUGACACUAACCUGUGGCUUGAAUGGAUGAGAUAUAAUGCUAACUCCCACAAUAAGACCAACUGUUAUUUUUGUGGAGGGGCUAGGCCCCAUCUGGGUACAGUACCCUUGAAUCUAUCUCCUGAUAUAGAAUUAUGUGUCUUAAGUCUUUAUGCACAAUCCACCACCAAUUCUUCAACGUGUGAAUCAUGGAAAAAGGUCUAUCCAAUUACCCAGGGACAUGUUAGACCACCUGAUGGAGUAUACCCAGGGACGUAUUAGCCGCGAGGCAAACAAGGCAUUUGCCUUGGGCGGCAUUUUUCAGGGGGCGGCA